rnacentral:rRNA from 1 species
UACAGAGGGGGCAAGCGUUGUUCGGAAUUACUGGGCGUAAAGGGCGAGUAGGUGGCCAUCUAAGUCAGACGUGAAAUCCCCCGGCUUAACCUGGGAACUGCGUCUGAUACUGGACGGCUUGAGUAUGGGAGAGGAACGUAGAAUUCCUGGUGUAGCGGUGAAAUGCGUAGAGAUCGGGAGGAAGGCCGGUGGCGAAGGCGGCGCUCUGGAACGUUUCUGACGCUGAGGCUCGAAAGCGUGGGGAGCAAACAGG